rnacentral:rRNA from 1 species
AUGUUAGCGGCGGACGGGUGAGUAACACGUGGGUAACCUGCCUGUAAGACUGGGAUAACUCCGGGAAACCGGGGCUAAUACCGGAUGGUUGUCUGAACCGCAUGGUUCAGACAUAAAAGGUGGCUUCGGCUACCACUUACAGAUGGACCCGCGGCGCAUUAGCUAGUUGGUGAGGUAACGGCUCACCAAGGCGACUAUGCGUAGCCGACCUGAGAGGGUGAUCGGCCACACUGGGACUGAGACACGGCCCAGACUCCUACGCGGAGGCAGCAGUAGGGAAUCUUCCGCAAUGGACGAAAGUCUGACGGAGCAACGCCGCGUGAGUGAUGAAGGUUUUCGGAUCGUAAAGCUCUGUUGUUAGGGAAGAACAAGUGCCGUUCAAAUAGGGCGGCACCUUGACGGUACCUAACCAGAAAGCCACGGCUAACUACGUGCCAGCAGCCGCGGUAAUACGUAGGUGGCAAGCGUUGUCCGGAAUUAUUGGGCGUAAAGGGCUCGCAGGCGGUUUCUUAAGUCUGAUGUGAAAGCCCCCGGCUCAACCGGGGAGGGUCAUUGGAAACUG